UCAGCAUCAUUAGUUAGUAUCAUAGACUAUAUAUUACAUGGACUGCCAACUCUACGCACUAAGCCUAUAUUUUUCAAUAAACAAGUCCCGUUCACGGAGGCGUCCUUGGUUGCGUGGUAAAUUGACUUCCGGUAGAUUUUUUUUUUACGUAUAAAGAAACCAUUCUCGAAGAUUUUUACCACCACUUUUACAGCAAAUCAUGAAUGGAAACUGAAUUGUUAAAGAAGAUGUUACAGAGGAGCAUACUACUUCCACAAACCUGAUUUGAUUGUCACUAACUUUCAAAUUGAAGGGGAUCUACUACAACUGCUCAUGAAUUUCGAGAUUUUACAGCUAAUAGAGGAACAAAUUUUAUCUGCUUCCACUUAGCCAAACAGCAUGGAAAUAUGCUAUUGUAAUGAGUAGAAGAUAUUUGUCAUUUAGAGUAUCAUGCAACAGCUAAUUAUCAGUCCACACAUUUCAGAUGAGGAAAAGAACAGUAUAAGCUACAUUCAUUGAUGCAUUAUUUAUACAAAAAUGUAUAGUCAACCCAGUCAUCACUCCAUUUUUUUAUGAAGCCAGUUACAGUUACCAUGAAGGGAUGAAAUUUCAGAUAAUAUUCUGUUUAUUUCAUGAAAUGAGAAUAGGCCUACAUCAGAAAUUGAAAUGGUCAUCUUCAGUAUUUAAUGUUUCAUCUAAAAAUGAUAAUUAUAUUAAUACAUAUUUGAUGUACAAACAAAUGAAAACCAUUCAAACACUUUUUUUUUGUGAAGUAUAGAUGAUUAAACUUGUAAGUGUCUGAACAAUA